rnacentral:rRNA from 1 species
UACGUAGGGGGCUAGCGUUGUCCGGAAUCAUUGGGCGUAAAGCGCGUGUAGGCGGCUUCGGUAAGUCCGCUGUGAAAGUCGGGGGCUCAACCCUCGGAUGCCGGUGGAUACUGUCGGACUAGAGUACGGAAGAGGCGAGUGGAAUUCCUGGUGUAGCGGUGGAAUGCGCAGAUAUCAGGAGGAACACCGAUGGCGAAGGCAGCUCGCUGGGACGGUACUGACGCUGAGGCGCGAAAGCGUGGGGAGCGAACAGG